AUACAACCCCAAGAAUAUAAAAUCAAAUAUAAAACCCGUGUCCCUUUGUUAGGGCUGCAUCCAGCCCUAGAGAGAAGAUCAGCCUUUCAUGGAGUGGUGGACGGCAGCAGCAGCACAGCAGCGGGCUCCCAUUCCUUCCUUCUCUUUCUCCUUUGAAAUAUUCCCAAAUUAGCCAAACCUCUCUCCCUCCUUUGUUUUUUUAUUGUCGUGGUAACUCCCUGAGAAGAGCCAAGCUUCUUCUUCUCCCGGUGGGGAACUUCGCCUCUGAGGAGAGAUUGAUGGGGAUCAGUCCCCGGUGGGGAAGAGGGAAUGCCCCCCGGUGGGGAAGGAGGAAUGGAAGAGAAUGCCUCUAGCCUUCAUCAUCGACUCCCUUUUAUAGCCUUCACAGCCUCUGUUAUCAACCUUCAGAUAUAUUCUUCCGAGUGAGAAGAUAAAGGAGAGGAACGGUCUCUGUUCCGCGGACGUGGGUGAGUCUCUUGAGAAGAUCCAAUCCAGACGUUGGGAGCUGAUCACGUUUGGCUUAAUCCUUGGAAGCUUAUCCUCGGAUGCUGGAACGCGUUGGAUGGAGUUGAUCCGGAAU
rnacentral:lncRNA from 1 species